rnacentral:lncRNA from 1 species
UUUGGGCUUUGAGUUAGAUAAAACUUAGGUUUUGGUUUAGAUUAUAUAUUUAAAUAUUGUAAAUAUACAUAUUAUGUUUAGAUAAUAUACUUGAGUUAUAUUGGGUUUGGGCUUACAAAAUUUUGCUCAAUGCCUGACACAAAUAAUAAAAUGGGCUUACACUUUUGUCCAAACUCAUUUUUCAAGCUUUGUAUUUUUGUCCAAGUCAUCUUAUGUUUCAAAUGAGCUUUAGAAUUUAGGCGGAUAAUUGAACUCUUAGACAACUCUGCUCUUCACACAGCCUCCCAAACCAUCCCAUCCGCGUUAGGCACCUCCACACCAAUGCUUACAAAUUUAUGCAUUCACAUCCAAUGUCACAUCUACAUUUACCUUGGUUAGGCCUUCCAAAGGUGGCCGCCAUUUCACUUCAACCAGCAAAAUAAGGUGAUUUAAGAGGUUGUAAACUCGAAAAUCAUGAUCCAAUCCCUUAGCAUAGUUAAGUGCGAGAUGUGGGGGGAGUAAGUUUACCAUGCACAAACUCACUGUUCUUCAAUUCCAAAGUUCCUCAAGCAAAAUGAUCAAAUUGGUUAGAGCGUCCCUGUCUAGCUUACACAUAACAAACUCAAGCCAGUCAAUACAAUAAAAAACUUAAAAAGUAAUAUAUGGUCAUCAAUACCUACCAAUCUUAAGGUGGCAUUUGAAACCUGACAAUCUUUGAGUGUAGGUAAGGUCAAUUUUUUGUCAAACUUGCAUCUAUGAUAUCUUGGAUUUGGAAGAUUUCUCAUAUUAACAAUCUUAGUGUCAAUUCACAAGAUACCAUAUCUAGUCGCGAUGUAAAAAUCUUCGAAAGCAUUUUGGACUUCCAAGUUUUUCUCGAAAAGACAUUGCGAGGACCAUUACCCAAAAAUCGUAAAAGGAGCUAAGAAUACCCCACUUUUGUCAAAUAUAUACCUGCCGAAAAAUGUCCCCCAUUGAGUGUAUCUCUCAAUCCACGCCUUAAAAGAUUCGAUUGAUAAGAUCAAAUCUGGUUCAGAUUGAGUGAAAGCCUAUUGAACAAACUGCUCAUCUCACCCUAUUUCUCCCUCAUGUAUUAACUGACUAUUCGUAGCAUCUCCUAUUAAAGUUCCUUUGUAAGUUAACUCCGGUCCAAUAAUGUCUUUGUUUCCCCAUCUAUACUCCCAUAUAUGCAAUUCUUUGCCAUCCCUGAUCUGCCAAAACAUGCCCAGUGCGAGCCUAUUUGCAGCUGUGCUCAAGCUUGUCAAUAUGAAAAAUAGUUUGCCAACAUGUUUAUAGUUAAGAAUAUCAUCAUCCAAGAACUAUCAUUAAGAACCUUGAAAGCAAGAAAGUCUCUAUGUUUUAAGAGACAACAAACUUGUCUACCUAAUAAAGCCAAAUUAAAAAGUCUGACAUUUCGAAAACCCAAGCCUCCUAUACUGUUAACAUAGCCCAUCCUUGAUCCUCAUUUCAACCUUGCCACCGGAACUUGUGUAUUGCACUCACAAUUGCAUCAGUUAUCAAGUUAGGCAUAAAAAAUAAAACCAUAGCAUAAGUGGGGAGUGACUGCAAAAUCGAUUUUACAAAGACCUCAUUGCCUCAAUGAGAUAAAAGGCAUUUGGACCGAAUAUAAAUGUGCAAAUAAACCCUGUCAGUCAUCCUUUUAAAAGCAUUUGGUUUGUUAAGAUCCACAACCAAAGGCAACCUCAAAUACAGUUUAGGAUCCGCCAUGACCUUUACUUCUAAUAUACGACUCAAUACUUAGCGUCAAGAGUAUUCAAACUGAAGUAAAGUAGAUGUUUCUCAAGAUUAACCUUUUGGUCAAAGCUACUUUCAUAAAUCAUUAGCAAGUCCCUCGCUUUUCUUGCUUCAGUCUAUUUAUUUUUGACAAACAACAGGUUAUCAUUACCAAAGAGAAAGUGAUUCACAUUAGGACCAUUCUGACUAGUCCAAAU